AUGCUUCAGGUCCAGGAUAAGGUUAGUCAGAAGAUUAAACCCCCUUUCAAAUUUUUCAAGUUCAGGUUAACUGUUGGUGGUGUGGUAGCGAAGGCUUGGAGGGAAGCUCAUGGUGGUUCUCAUGCAGAGAGGAUCACUAAGCUCCUUAGGAAGAUGAGGUCAGCUUUAUCCCAGUGGAACAAAAAAGUGGUUGGGAAUCUGUUUGAGAAGGCCAAGCAUCUUGAGGAGCAGAUCCAAAACA
rnacentral:lncRNA from 1 species